AGCUGUCUCAACCAGAGAUUCAGUGAAAUUGUAGUGGAGGUGAAAAUUCCUCCUACCCGCGGCAAGACGGAGAGACCCCGUGGACCUUUACUACAACUUAGCACUGCUAACGGGAAUACCAUGCGCAGGAUAGGUGGGAGGCUUUGAAGUAAGGGCUUUGGCUCUUAUGGAGUCAUCC
rnacentral:rRNA from 1 species